GAAAAAAAGGAAAGAAAAGAAAAAUAUAAUCUUUUAAAAAGAAGUGAGGGUUGGAGAGACCGCGACUUGCCCAAGGCCACCCAGCAGCUGAGGAAGAAAGCCAAAAGAAGCGUAGGUACCACCUCAGGCUCCACCAGAAACCACCUGUCAAGGAAUGACAAGAGAAAAGGACCACCCAUAGGCCUCAGCAACUUGCAAUUUGUUUUCUUUUAACUACCUUGAACAGAAACCAAAGUUCAGGAAACCUCCCUCAGGCCUCCCCCACAGCGCCACCAUAAGUCAAACUAAGAGUCAGCAGUUACACAGGGCUUUUACUCUCUUGCCUUACCCUCCCAGCUACUUGGGGGCCAAACUGCACAGGAAGGGUUCAAUCCCACAUCUGUGUCUCCAGGGGUCCAGGCUCCAGCUUCUUCACAACUUCCCAGCUAUCAAGGGAGAUGAGAUGUUUAAACUAACUUUUCUUUCAAAGAAAGGUAACAGAAGCUCGGGGCACCUGGGUGGCUCAUUCGAGCCCUGCAUCGGGCCCCGCACUGACAGCUUGGAGCCUGGAGCUUGCUUCGGAUUCUGUGUCUCCCCCUCUCUCUGCCCCUCCCCACUGUGCGCUGUGUCUCUCUCUCUCUC